rnacentral:rRNA from 1 species
CGCGUGAGCAACCUGGACUCUUAGAAGGGGGGAUAACACCCGGAAACGAGUGCUAAUACCGGCAUAAGACCACGACAUGGCAUCAUGACGAGGUCAAAGGAGCAAUCCGCUGAGAGAGGGGCUCGCGUCCCCAUUAGAUAGAUGGCGGGGUAACGGCCCACCAUGUCAACGAUGGGUAGCCGAGCUGAGAGGCUGAUCGGCCACACUGGAACUGAGACACGGGUCCAGACUCCUACGGGAGGCAGCAGUGGGGAAUAUUGGGCAAUGGGCGCAAGCCUGACCCAGCAACGCCGCGUGAGGGAAGAAGGCUUUCGGGUUGUAAACCUCUGUCCUUGGUGACGAAACAAAUGACGGUAGCCAAGGAGGAAGCCCCGGCUAACUACGUG